GAUGAAGAACGCAGCGAAAUGCGAUAAGUAGUGUGAAUUGCAGAAUUCAGUGAAUCAUCGAAUCUUUGAACGCGCAUUGCGACCCAUGGUAUUCCGUGGGGCAUGCCUGUUCGAGCGUCAUUUACCCCCUCAAGCUCCGCUUGGUGUUGGGCGUCUGUCCCGCUUCGCGCGCGGACUCGCCCCAAAGGUAUUGGCAGCGGUCGUGCCAGCUUCUCGCGCAGCACAUUGCGCUUCUCGAGGCACCGGUGGGCCCGCGUCCAUCAAGCUCACCCCCCCAGUUUGACCUCGGAUCAGGUAGGGAUACCCGCUGAACUUAAGCAUAUCAAUAAGCGGAGGA
rnacentral:misc_RNA from 1 species